rnacentral:rRNA from 1 species
GUGAACGCUGGCGGUAGGCCUCACACCUGCAAGUCGCACGGCAGCACAGUAAGAGCUUGCUCUUACGGGUGGCGAGUGGCGGACGGGUGAGGAAUACAUCGGAAUCUACUUUUUCGUGGGGGAUAACGUAGGGAAACUUACGCUAAUACCGCAUACGACCUACGGGUGAAAGCAGGGGAUCUUCGGACCUUGCGCGAUUGAAUGAGCCGAUGUCGGAUUAGCUAGUUGGCGGGGUAAAGGCCCACCAAGGCGACGAUCCGUAGCUGGUCUGAGAGGAUGAUCAGCCACACUGGAACUGAGACACGGUCCAGACUCCUACGGGAGGCAGCAGUGGGGAAUAUUGGACAAUGGGCGCAAGCCUGAUCCAGCCAUACCGCGUGGGUGAAGAAGGCCUUCGGGUUGUAAAGCCCUUUUGUUGGGAAAGAAAAGCAGCAGGUUAACACCCCGCUGUUCUGACGGUACCCAAAGAAUAAGCACCGGCUAACUUCGUG